AUGGAGCACGCCGCGUGAGUGAAGAAGGGUUUCGGCUCGUAAAACUCUGUUGUUAAAGAAGAACAUAUCUGAGAGUAACUGUUCAGGUAUUGACGGUAUUUAACCAGAAAGCCACGGCUAACUACGUGCCAGCAGCCGCGGUAAUACGUAGGUGGCAAGCGUUGUCCGGAUUUAUUGGGCGUAAAGCGAGCGCAGGCGGUUUUUUAAGUCUGAUGUGAAAGCCUUCGGCUCAACCGAAGAAGUGCAUCGGAAACUGGGAAACUUGAGUGCAGAAGAGGACAGUGGAACUCCAUGUGUAGCGGUGAAAUGCGUAGAUAUAUGGAAGAACACCAGUGGCGAAGGCGGCUGUCUGGUCUGUAACUGACGCUGAGGCUCGAAAGUAUGGGUAGCAAACAGGAUUAGAUACCCUGGUAGUCCAUACCGUAAACGAUGAAUGCUAAGUGUUGGAGGGUUUCCGCCCUUCAGUGCUGCAGCUAACGCAUUAAGCAUUCCGCCUGGGGAGUACGGCCGCAAGGCUGAAACUCAAAGGAAUUGACGGGGGCCCGCACAAGCGGUGGAGCAUGUGGUUUAAUUCGAAGCUACGCGAAGAACCUUACCAGGUCUUGACAUACUAUGCAAAUCUAAGAGAUUAGACGUUCCCUUCGGGGACAUGGAUACAGGUGGUGCAUGGUUGUCGUCAGCUCGUGUCGUGAGAUGUUUGGGUUAAGUCCCGCAACGAGCGCAACCCUUAUUAUCAGUUGCCAGCAUUAAGUUGGGCACUCUGGUGAGACUGCCGGUGACAAACCGGAA
rnacentral:rRNA from 1 species